GGCGAACGGGUGAGUAAUGCAUCGGAACGUGCCCAAUCGUGGGGGAUAACGCAGCGAAAGCUGUGCUAAUACCGCAUACGAUCUAUGGAUGAAAGCGGGGGACCUUCGGGCCUCGCGCGAUUGGAGCGGCCGAUGUUAGAUUAGGUAGUUGGUGGAGUAAAGGCUCACCAAGCCGACGAUCUAUAGCUGGUCUGAGAGGACGACCAGCCACACUGGAACUGAGACACGGUCCAGACUCCUACGGGAGGCAGCAGUGGGGAAUUUUGGACAAUGGGCGCAAGCCUGAUCCAGCAAUACCGCGUGCAGGAAGAAGGCCUUCGGGUUGUAAACUGCUUUUGUACGGAACGAAAAGGCUCUUUCUAAUAAAGAGGGCUCAUGACGGUACCGUAAGAAUAAGCACCGGCUAACUACGUGCCAGCAGCCGCGGUAAUACGUAGGGUGCGAGCGUUAAUCGGAAUUACUGGGCGUAAAGCGUGC
rnacentral:rRNA from 1 species